GAAAGGUGAUCAUUACACCGUACAGAAUGAAGGCUGUCCCCAGCUGGAGUAUUUUAUUACCCUUGUCUUCUUGCGCACUUGUUGUUUCCUGGGCGGGUUCGCUCGCCACCAGGACCACCAAAUAAACCUUUUUUAUGCAGUUGCAAUCAGCGUCAGUACAAACAAUGUAAAUCAUUUACAACUUUCAACAACGGAUCUCUUGGUUCUGGCAUCGAUGAAGAACGCAGCGAAAUGCGAUACGUAGUGUGAAUUGCAGAAUUCAGUGAAUCAUCGAAUCUUUGAACGCACAUUGCGCCCUUUGGUAUUCCAAAGGGCAUGCCUGUUCGAGCGUCAUUUGUACCCUCAAGCUUUGCUUGGUGUUGGGCGUUUUUGUCUUUGGUCGCCCAAAGACUCGCCUUAAAGUGAUUGGCAGCCGGCCUUUCUGGUUUCGCAGCGCAGCACAUUUUUGCGCUUGCCAUCAGCAAGACGGCAAUCCAUCAAGCCUCCUUCUCACGUUUGACCUCGGAUCAGGUAGGGAUACCCGCUGAACUUAAGCAUAUCAUUAAGCGGAGGAAAAGGAACUUUCCAUUCAAUAAGAAGGCGUCCCAGCUGGAGUAUUUUAUUCUUGUCUUUGCGCCUGUGUUCGGGCGGUCUGCCCAGGACCAAUACUUUUUUAUCAUAAUCGCCGUAAAAGUAAUUUAAUUCACAAAUUGGCGGUGAAAAAAACAAAGGGACAAAGGAAAAAUUAAUCCUUUACCUGCCUGAAUAAGAAGCUUUUCCUUUGGGGCU
rnacentral:rRNA from 1 species